UAACUUCGGGAAACCGGAGCUAAUACCGGAUAAUCCUUUUCUACUCAUGUAGAAAAGCUGAAAGUCGGUUUACGCUGUCACUUACAGAUGGGCCCGCGGCGCAUUAGCUAGUUGGUGAGGUAACGGCUCACCAAGGCGACGAUGCGUAGCCGACCUGAGAGGGUGAUCGGCCACACUGGGACUGAGACACGGCCCAGACUCCUACGGGAGGCAGCAGUAGGGAAUCUUCCGCAAUGGACGAAAGUCUGACGGAGCAACGCCGCGUGAGUGAUGAAGGUUUUCGGAUCGUAAAACUCUGUUGUUAGGGAAGAACAAGUACGAGAGUAACUGCUCGUACCUUGACGGUACCUAACCAGAAAGCCACGGCUAACUACGUGCCAGCAGCCGCGGUAAUACGUAGGUGGCAAGCGUUGUCCGGAAUUAUUGGGCGUAAAGCGCGCGCAGGCGGUCCUUUAAGUCUGAUGUGAAAGCCCACGGCUCAACCGUGGAGGGUCAUUGGAAACUGGGGGACUUGAGUGCAGAAGAGAAGAGUGGAAUUCCACGUGUAGCGGUGAAAUGCGUAGAGAUGUGGAGGAACACCAGUGGCGAAGGCGACUCUUUUGGUCUGUAACUGACGCUGAGGCGCGAAAGCGUGGGGGAGCAAACAGGAUUAGAUACCCUGGUAGUCCACGCCGUAAACGAUGAGUGCUAAGUGUUAGAG
rnacentral:rRNA from 2 species